AUUGAACGCUGGCGGCAUGCCUUACACAUGCAAGUCGAACGGCAGCACGGGGCAACCUGGUGGCGAGUGGUGAACGGGUGAGUAAUGCAUCGGAACGUACCUUUCAGUGGGGGAUAACGCAGCGAAAGUUACGCUAAUACCGCAUAUCCUGUGAGCAGGAAAGCAGGGGAUCGCAAGACCUUGCGCUGAUUGAGCGGCCGAUGUCAGAUUAGCUAGUUGGUGAGGUAAAGGCUCACCAAGGCGACGAUCUGUAGCGGGUCUGAGAGGAUGAUCCGCCACACUGGAACUGAGACACGGUCCAGACUCCUACGGGAGGCAGCAGUGGGGAAUUUUGGACAAUGGGGGCAACCCUGAUCCAGCCAUGCCGCGUGAGUGAAGAAGGCCUUCGGGUUGUAAAGCUCUUUCGGCCGGGAAGAGAUCGCACGGGCUAAUACCCUGUGUGGAUGACGGUACCGGAAUAAGAAGCACCGGCUAACUACGUGCCAGCCGCCGCAGUAAAAC
rnacentral:rRNA from 1 species